rnacentral:rRNA from 1 species
GGCUGUUGCUGGUCCUCGAAUGGGGACAUGUGCACGCUCUGUUUACACAUCCACUCACACCUGUGCACCCUCUGUAGUUUUACGGUCUGGGGGACCCUGUCUUCCUUCUGUAGUUCUACGUCUUUACACACACACUGUAAUAAAGUCUUAUGGAAUGUAUGCCGCGUCUAACGCAACACAAUACAACUUUCAGCAACGGAUCUCUUGGCUCUCGCAUCGAUGAAGAACGCAGCGAAAUGCGAUAAGUAAUGUGAAUUGCAGAAUUCAGUGAAUCAUCGAAUCUUUGAACGCACCUUGCGCCCCUUGGAUAUUCCGAGGGGCAUGCCUGUUUGAGUAUCAUGAACACCUCAACUCUCAUGGUUUGCCGUGACGAGCUUGGACCUUGGGGGUUUUGCUGGCCUGUGGUCGGCUCCUCUCAAAUGAAUCAGCCUCCCAGUGUUUGGUGGCAUCACGAGUGUGAUAACUAUCUACUCUCGCGGUUGCCCACCAGGUAACCUUUGGUGACAAAGGUUCGCUGGAGCUCACAGAUGUCUCUCCUUAGCGAGGACAGCUUUUUAACGUUCGAUCUCAAAUCAGGUAGGACUACCCGCUGAACUUAAGCAUAUCAAUAAGCGGAGGAAAARAMACUAACAAGGAUUCCCCUAGUAACUGCGAGUGAAGCGGGAAGAGCUCAAAUUUAAAAUCUGGCGUGCCUCUGGUCGUCCGAGUUGUAGUCUAGAGAAGUGUUUUCCGUGCUGGACCGUGUACA